rnacentral:rRNA from 1 species
UAACUAAACCAUCACUUUAAGUGCAUCUUUGGAUGUUACUCAUUGUGUAACUUUGACAUCUGGCCUCAAAUCAAGUAGGACUACCCGCUGAACUUAAGCAUAUCAAUAAGCGGAGGAAAAGAAACUAACAAGGAUUCCCCUAGUAACGGCGAGUGAAGCGGGAAGAGCUCAAAUUUGAAAUCUGGUGGCCUCAGGUCAUCCGAGUUGUAAUCUAUAGAAGUGUUUUCCGUGCUGGCUCAUGUACAAGUCCCUUGGAACAGGGCGUCAUAGAGGGUGAGAAUCCCGUCCUUGACAUGAACUACCAGUGCUCUGUGAUACAUUUUCAACGAGUCGAGUUGUUUGGGAAUGCAGCUCAAAAUGGGUGGUAAAUUCCAUCUAAAGCUAAAUAUUGGCGAGAGACCGAUAGCGAACAAGUACCGUGAGGGAAAGAUGAAAAGCACUUUGGAAAGAGAGUUAAACAGUAUGUGAAAUUGUUGAAAGGGAAACGAUUGAAGUCAGUCGUGCUCUUUGGAUUCAGCCGGUUCUGCCGGUGUACUUCCUUUGAGUGGGGUCAACAUCAGUUUUGAUCGCUGGAUAAAGGCUGGAGGAACGUAGUACCCUCGGGUAAACUUAUAGCCUCCUGUCACAUACAGUGGUUGGGACUGAGGAACGCAGCACGCCUUUAUGGCCGGGAUUCGUCCACGUACGUGCUUAGGAUGUUGACAUAAUGGCUUUAAACGACCCGUCUUGAAACACGGACCAAGGAGUCUAACAUAUCUGCGAGUAUUUGGGUGUCAAACCCAAGUGCGCAAUGAAAGUGAAUGUAGGAGGGAUCCGCAAGGA